GUGUGCAUGGUUGUCGUCAGCUCGUGUCGUGAGAUGUUGGUUAAGUCCCGCAACGAGCGCAACCCCUAUUGUUAGUUGCCAUCAUUCAGUUUGGGGCACUCCUAGCGAGACUGCCGGUAAUAAACCGGAGGAAGGCGGGGAUGACGUCAAAUCAUCAUGCCCCUUAUGACCUGGGCUACACACGUGCUACAAUGGUUGGUACAACGAGUUGCGAGUCGGUGACGGCGAGCUAAUCUCUUAAAGCCAAUCUCAGUUCGGAUUGUAGGCUGCAACUCGCCUACAUGAAGUCGGAAUCGCUAGUAAUCGCGGAUCAGCACGCCGCGGUGAAUACGUUCCCGGGCCUU
rnacentral:rRNA from 1 species